AGAUAAUGUUUUCUCUUAGUGUAAUAGUGAUUGUCCAACCAAAGCAAGGUGACGUAACAUAAGCAGUAUAGGCAAGAGCGAGAAGAUAGAACAUCGCAUCUUAUAUAAGUGCUAAUAAAAGCUGCACAGAAUAUAUAAUAGAACAGACGUUAUUUUUAGUUCUGUGACCGUGGCAAUAGAAAUUCACAGGAAUUUUAUAUUGGUUGGAUAAAACGUGAUUGAUGUUCACCGAAUACGUUCGCUCGCCUGCCUACUUGCUCGCCCGAGAGAGAGAGAGCGAGCGAGCGAGCGAGAGAGAGAGAGAGAGUUUAUAUACUCAUAUUAUAUACUCUUUCUAUUGUA